rnacentral:rRNA from 1 species
UCUUUGUUCCUUUUUGAGGAAGUAAAAGUGGUACCAAGGUUUCCGUAGGUGAACCUGCGGAAGGAUCAUUUUCGAAAUCGAAAGCCUAGGAGAAAGGGGGGGGGAUGCGGGGCUGUCGCUGGCCUCUUUGGCAUGUGCACGCGUUGGUCCCUCUCCCGCCUUCGAAGCUUUCAACUUCUCAACACCUGUGUGCACCCGCUGUAGGUCCUUCGGGACCUAUGUCUUCUCUUCCGAACUCGCAUGUCUACAGAAUGUGUAUGCGUCGCGUUGGCGACUGCGAAACCUUUGUACAACUUUCAGCAAUGGAUCUCUUGGCUCUCGCAUCGAUGAAGAACGCAGCGAAUCGCGAUAAGUAAUGUGAAUUGCAGAUUUUCCGUGAAUCAUCGAAUCUUUGAACGCACCUUGCGCUCCUUGGUAUUCCGAGGAGCAUGCCUGUUUGAGUGUCAUCGAAAUAUCGGACCGAAUGACUUCGAUGCUGUCGGAGCUCGGUUUCGGAUGUUGGGAGUGGUGCGGGCGGCAACGUCGGCUCUCCUCAAAAGCAUUAGCUGUGGGCGCGAGCCUCGCAUGGCACGGCCGCUUUGACGUCGUAAUGAUCGUCGUGGGCUUGGAAGUGCGUGGGUUGACGUGUCUCCACGCUUCGAAACCUUCUGCGAGUCCGUCCGUCGUCCGGACGGUCGCACGUAUCGAUGCUUGACCUCAAAUCAGGUAGGACUACCCGCUGAACUUAAGCAUAUCAAUAAGCGGAGGAAAAGAAACUAACGAGGAUUCCCCUAGUAACUGCGAGUGAAGCGGGAAAAGCUCAAAUUUCGAAUCUGGCGGUCCUGGCCGUCCGAGUGAUUAGGA